rnacentral:lncRNA from 1 species
GCACAACCUUCCACAGAGACCCUGCUCAUCAUGCUGCCUGCCUGUCUGCAGAUUUUGUUCACUCUUGGGAAAAAAAAAACAAAAACAAACAAACAAAAAAAAAACCUUGAUUGCAUGGAAUCAUCACAUUGAGAGAGACCAGGAGGAAGAAGUAAGCACUCCAUGGAAAACACCUGUCCUACACACAGAAAGGGGAGUGUGGUGGUUAGCAGAGGAGGUCCCAUAUUUUCGUUUGGCACCAGGCUCAGCGAAUUACAUAGCCAGCAAUGACCACAACCAGUCCUCCAUCCUUCUGCUGGGAACUUGGAUGCUAGAGCUCUUGCAGUCACACUGGGCCAUGAAGAUAAAGGUCACCCCCUAGGAAUGAUAGAGCAGAAAGCUGGAAGGAACCUGGGUCCCUGAUCUCUGUGGAGCCACUGAACUGCCUCUAAUGAAGGAAAACAUUUCUCUCAUUUAUGCUGCAUGUUCUUUUCGAUUUUAUGUUAUAUUUAGUGGAGUAUAAUCCUAAUUUGAUACAAUUGCCAACUUUUAAAAAUCAGGAAAUUUCACACAAAUAUUCAGCUCUCUGGCUUUUCUCUUGAAAAUUUGGUACAUCUGACAAAACAUGAAGUCAUGCUUCCCAUUGCAGCAACUGACCUGGGCAGGAUAAUGGAUGCCUGCUUCAGACAGGGAUGGAGACCUCACCAAUUUUUUUUCCUUCAUUUUAAUUGGGAAGUGGGGCAAGAUGGAAAAAUUGUGGAUGCCAACUUUGUAACUUUGUCUUUCUCCCUGCAUCAUUUUUAGCAAGAACAUUUCGACACUGGUGUAGUCCACAAGGGAAGAUACUGAGAGAGGAGAAAGGAAGAAACCUUUCAGGCAUCAGUUAGGGUGGGUCCUUGGUUAAAUUCUUUCAAACAAAAGAACAGCCUGAAAAAUCAAG